rnacentral:rRNA from 1 species
AGCCGCGGUAAUACGAAGGGUGCAAGCGUUACUCGGAAUUACUGGGCGUAAAGCGUGCGUAGGUGGUUCGUUAAGUCUGAUGUGAAAGCCCUGGGCUCAACCUGGGAAUGGCAUUGGAUACUGGCGACCUAGAGUGCGGUAGAGGGGUGUGGAAUUCCCGGUGUAGCAGUGAAAUGCGUUGAUAUCGGGAGGAACAUCUGUGGCGAAGGCGACACCCUGGACCAGCACUGACACUGAGGCACGAAAGCAUGGGGAGCGAACG